rnacentral:rRNA from 1 species
AGAGUUUGAUCAUGGCUCAGGAUGAACGCUGGCGGCGUGGAUAAGGCAUGCAAGUCGAACGAAAAAGCCCACUGAAGUAUGAAUGGAGAUUGAGAUUACAUCAAGGUCAAAGUAAGUAUGGAUGCGGAUCGCUUUUUAGUGGCGAACGAGGUAGUAAUACAUAGGAACACCCCCCUUAGUCGUGAAUAAUUCGGCGAAAGCCGGACUAAUACACGAUGGUCCCGCAAGGGUAAAGUUUUAACGCUAAGGGAGUGGCCUGUGCGAUAUCAGCUAGUUGGUAGUGUAAUGGACUACCAAGGCUAUGACGUCUAGGGGAGGUGAGAGCCUGACCCCCACCGAUGGUACUGAGACACGGACCAUACACCUACGGGUGGCUGCAGUCGAGAAUCUUCCACAAUGGACGAAAGUCUGAUGGAGCGACGCCGCGUGAUUGAUGAAGUCCCUAUGGGACGUAAAGAUCUUUUAUGAGGGAAGAAGUUUAUUGACUGUACCUCAUGAAUAAGAGGCUCCUAAUCUCGUGCCAGCAGGAGCGGUAAUACGAGAGCCUCGAGCGUUAUCCGGAAUUAUUGGGCGUAAAGGGUGCGUAGGUUGCUGCGUUAGUCUUCUGUCAAAGCCCCGAGCUUAACUUGGGAUAUGCGGGGGAAACGGCGCAGCUUGAAAGUGCGAGAGGCGUACGGAACUCAUGGUGUAGGGGUGAAAUCCGUUGAUAUCAUGGGGAACACCAAAUGCGAAGGCAGUACGCUGGCGCAUAUUUGACACUGAAGCACGAAAGCGUGGGUAGCGAAUGGGAUUAGAUACCCCUGUAGUCC